rnacentral:misc_RNA from 1 species
AAGUCGUAACAAGGUUUCCGUAGGUGAACCUGCGGAAGGAUCAUUAACGAAUAAAUCUCGGUGGGCUUUUUGAUGCUGGCCUUCACAAAAGGCAUGUGCACGGCCUGUCGUCCUUUAUUUCUUUUUCCACCUGUGCACCCUUUGUAGGCUUGAACAGCUUUUUCUUUGGCCUUCGGGUCAGUGUGUUGGGGACUGCGCCAGAGAGACGGGGCUGUCCUCUACCGUUCGAGUCUAUGUUUUUUUACACUAUACACUGUUGUUAAACCUAGAAUGUUAAAGGCCUCUACGUGUGCCUAUCUAAACACUAUACAACUUUCAGCAACGGAUCUCUUGGCUCUC